UCCUCUUUCUCUUCCAAAAUCAUUCCUCUUAUUCUUCCAAAACCGUUUCCAAAUUAAUUUCUCUUUCACACUCGGGUCUCUCCACCUUUCAAAACGAAUCUCCUUCCUCUCUCUCCAAGCCAAAACGGCGGCGCCUCCACUCUCCUCCGACGAACUGCUCGCCUUUUCCGUUCCGAUUCAUCUCCUUCUGCUUCAAUUCUGGUCCUAUUCAAAAAAUUUAUCACUGGAAGUAUGGCUUCACAAUACAAUGAGUAAGAAGAAAGAGCUUUUCAAACCAAAAAUUGAGUCGAAAGUUGGAAUGUAUGUUUAUGGAGUCACUGUUUACGAUUUCAGCCAUAUUGGGCAUGCUCCUGUUUACGUCAAUUUUGAUCUUCUUUAUAGAUGACAAGGUUUCAUAGGUUAAAACAAAUAUCAGUUUUCAAUUCGUUGAUUUUAUCAUCUAUGACGGCGAUUGAGGAAUUAACAGAGCAUCGACAGUACUCGCCGACGAAGAUAUCAAGAAACAACCAAUUCCCGAAGACCUUUAACUUUCCUCAAUGUUGUUGCUCUCGACAACAUCAGUGCUGGUAAAUCAACAGUUCCCGAAGACAUUCAACUUUCGUCAACAUUUUGCUCUCGACAACAUCAUAAGUCUUACCCAUUUCAUUUCUUGAUCAUUAUAGUUUCUAAUUUAUUAUGUUGGCGGUUAUAAUUUUGAUUUCAAUUUUGUAGAGUGAUGGUAAAUCGGCAGUUUUGAAUAGUUUAAUUGGACAUCGAGUUUUGGUAAGUCUGAUGAAAUAUCUAUAUAUUUUGAC